GAUGAACGCUGGCGGCGUGCUUAAUACAUGUAAGUCGGACGGAGCGUUAGCAAUAGCGCUUAGUGGCGAACGGGUGAGUAACACGUUGGUGACCUGCCCCGAAGCGGGGGAUAACAGUUCGAAAGGAUUGCUAAUACCGCAUGUGGUCAUCGGGUUUAGAAACCGAUGUCUAAAGGAGCAAUUCGCUUUGGGAGGGACCUGCGUCCCAUCAGCUAGUUGGUGAGGUAAUGGCUCACCAAGGCGACGACGGGUAGGGGACCUGAGAGGGUGGCCCCCCACAAUGGAACUGGAAACACGGGUCCAUACACCUACGGGUGGCAG
rnacentral:rRNA from 1 species